rnacentral:lncRNA from 1 species
GAUAUCAAUCAAGUGAAGCAGCUAUCACAGGGUCUGGAACAUAGUACAUCCCAGCCUUCUUGCACAUAGAAACACUACACAGCACUUCAGCUGUAUGUUUGGGGGCCAUUUUAAACAGCAAAAUCAUCAACAGGAAGCAGAAAAUUGUAAAAAUUGUGGCACUAAAUAGACCAUGUAAAGGACACAUGUUUGCAAUAAGAAAGCUGAAACAAGAAGGGGGAGUGUCACCUUAUUUGAUCCAGCUAGAAACUCAGGUGCUGGUAUUCCAGCAACACUCAGGCGGCUGCUCCAGGAGGCUGCAGAGGGGUCCUUUUUAGCCGUCAACAAAACUGGCUAUGGUCACGCCCAUUGGGAAACUCAUUGCUGCCUUCAAGGUUCUGUCAAUAGAAGAUACUAAAGAAAGAAAGCCAGGAGAAGAAAAGGGACUUCUUUCUUCAAGGUCUAAGCUGUUCUAAUAGCAUUAUUCUGGGAAUGGCAUCUUCCACUCCUCCUAGUACAAAGAACCUGCUUCCUCAUACCCCGUCAAGGAACUGCAGCAUCCAGAAUACAUUCAUACCUAACACCUCAAUAGAUGACAUGUUAUCCAUGGAAUCGAGUUCAAAGCCCUCUGUAACGUGGCUAUAUCCCAUCUACUCUGAGCUGAUGUUCAGCAGGUGAUGGCCACAGUGGCAGAACCUAGGAAGCCAAGAAGAAACCAGAGAAUGGAGACACAUGGCAGCAAUGGCAAGUCAUCAGACCCAGGAUUUCCCAAAGAACACUGGUCCAGGAAGAUGCUCUGUGAAAAAGUGUUCCCUGGUCGGAGAAAUUUGUGAAACACUUUGCAUAAUACUUAAAAGAAUGUAUGGCACAUCAAAGGUAAUAUGCAAUAAAAGAAUUCAUUUUUUUAAAA